rnacentral:rRNA from 1 species
AGGGGGGGCAAGCGUUGUUCGGAAUUACUGGGCGUAAAGGGUUCGUAGGUGGCCACUUAAGUCAGACGUGAAAUCCCUCAGCUUAACUGGGGAACUGCGUCUGAUACUGAGUGGCUUGAGUGCAGGAGAGGAAUGCGGAAUUCCAGGUGUAGCGGUGAAAUGCGUAGAUAUCUGGAGGAACACCGGUGGCGAAGGCGGCAUUCUGGACUGUAACUGACACUGAGGAACGAAAGCCAGGGGAGCAAACGGGAUUAGAUACCCCGGUAGUCCUGGCCCUAAACGAUGAAUGCUUGGUGUGGCGGGUAUCGAUCCCUGCCGUGCCGAAGUUAACGCGAUAAGCAUUCCGCCUGGGGAGUACGGUCGCAAGGCUG